CCUGGAGACAGCUGCCGACGGUCUUUAGGGAUGAACGUCCCCAAGGGAUUCGCUAGGGCACACUAACUUAGAACUGCUUUAAGUGAAAUGUUAGUCACCCCCAAAAAAAGAAUUCCAUCCUCUCCUAAGCAGACCUGUAUCACCAAAAGAUGGUGCUGAAUUAUUAUAUGUAAAAUCCUGUUAGUAAAUAUUUAUGGCAAUUUGUGUUCUCUGUUAAACAGGAACCUGCAUCAUGUCUUCCAUUCUACUUCUUGGGCCCGCGAUGUCUAACGUAUUUAUCAUCGGCCCCUUUGCACGGGCGAGAAGGUGGCGCCCCAUGGCUGUUGCAGUUCUGCAUUGCUGGGGUGACGCUCCAAUCUGUAUCUGUCUGCCGCCCGAGGCCCCGGGUCCAGGCGGCAGGGACCGGGCCUGCUGUCCUGGGAACCUAUCUCCAGGCAUCCAGUCAGCACUCUGUAAAUACUUGGUGAAAGAAGCCAGUGAAGGAAUCGGCGAAUGAGCCAAUUUGCAGCCCCCACCCCAAAGUCUGGCCCAGUGCCUUGUGCAAAGUAGAUGUUCUGAAAACAUUUGCUAAAAAAUUAA